ACACACACACAACACUGUCCUCCACUAAUAUUGGCACCCUUGGUAAAUAUGAGCAAAGAAGGCUGUAAAAAUUUUUCUUUAUUGUUUUUAACCUUUUGAUCUUUUAUGAAGAAAAAAAAAAAUCACAAAAAUGCUCUGCUCUCAUGGAUAUCAAACAACCACAAACACAACACAGGUUCAUACAAAAAAACAAAAAACAAAAUACAGAAAAAUAUAUGAAGUAUAAAAAAUAUUAUAAAUAUAUUCCCACUGGAAUCCCAUCGAUUCUGCGACUGCAGAAAUGAACACAAAAAAGGAAAUGGCGCGAUAUUCGGAGGAGCUUGCAGUUUUUCAAAAUUUCCACAGAUUUUCCUAUGACGUCAUCAAGACGUGCGUUCAGCCGAAGCCCUCUUCGAUUCACAUGUGUCGAACAUGAGUACAGCUAAGAGCGCUCGUUUACCGACAAACAUCACUGCGAAAGACUAUUUCUUGCAAUUGCGAUUUCGCCAGUUCAAGGUACUUUUCUCGCAAAAAAAAGCACAAAAAACAACGCAAGUUGCAUCGCAAAUUUUUUAAAAAGCCGCAGCAAAAUCGAACGUUUUUGGCCAUAACGAGCACCAAGAAACUGCCAGAUCCUGUUCGGACUGAUUGUUGUUUUACACUGAUUUUGUUCAAAGAAUACAUAAAAAAUAGACUAGAUGUUUUCUACGUAUUUUCAUGUGAUGGCAUUUCAGACAUUGUGAAAUCGGUUUAUAUUCUCCGCAGUGAUGCAAUGAAAAGGUACAGAAGAUUUCACGUCACAUAUGAAAUAUUUUCUGGGGGGAAAAAAACUCAGCUCAAAAAAAAAAAAAGUCAGUUCUUCUUUUCUCUCACUGUGACUGUGUGUGUGAAAUACAUGUACAAAAGUUUUAUUAUUUUACAUUUUGGAUUACUUAUAUACAUAACAUGAAUACAAUAUAAUAAUCUUGGACGUUUAUUGUUUUAAUGCAUAAAAAAUUAAUAAAACGUUCUGUCUACUUUACAUGGUCACGUGAUAUUAAUUCAUUUAAUAUGAAUUCUGUGCGCACGUGAUCCUGACUCAGUGUGUGAAUGAAGUCUCAGUCUGUAUAGUAACAGAUGACGCAAAAAUGACCAUAAAACAUCUAUUAAACUAAAUACGAAGCUGAUUUCGAAGGGAAUAAAUAAAGAAGGGAAUUAAAACAUGUGUGUGUGUGUGUGUGUGUGUGUGUGUGUGUGUGGUGUUAUUUAAAGUUUAACAAGGUCUACUCACCUGCCUGCACUCCUCUCUGCCUGCUGACAUUUGGAUAAGC
ensembl:lncRNA